rnacentral:rRNA from 1 species
UACGUAGGGGGCAAGCGUUGCUCGGAAUUACUGGGCGUAAAGCGCACGUAGGCGGCUUUCUAAGUCGGGGGUGAAAUCCUGGAGCUCAACUCCAGAACUGCCUUCGAUACUGGAGAGCUUGAGUCCGGGAGAGGUGAGUGGAACUGCGAGUGUAGAGGUGAAAUUCGUAGAUAUUCGCAAGAACACCAGUGGCGAAGGCGGCUCACUGGCCCGGUACUGACGCUGAGGUGCGAAAGCGUGGGGAGCAAACAGG